UGUAGCUCAGUGGAGAGCACUUGCCUAGCAAGCACAAGGCCCUGGGUUCAAUCCCUAGCA
rnacentral:tRNA from 1 species